GAGAGAGAAGGGAGGGGAGAGCGGGGGAAGGAGCAGGAGAGCAGGGAAGUAGGAGAAUUGGGCAAGAGCGAGGGAAAAACAGAAACCAAGAAGGAUAAGUACGCACAGAAAGAGAACUAGUUAAUGACCACCUGUUGGUGGUUGUAGACUGAAACUUGUCAGAGCAGCACAGACUUCCUAUUGAGUAGUGAUAAGGGAUACAUGAGAAGGUUGAUGAACAACAACAGGUGUAUUGCUGUAGGCUAACCCCUGUAACUCCUAACAGUCUGCUUUAUCACCAAAUGUAAUACCCUUUCACACUACUGAGCUGAGCCGAGCUGAGCCGAGCCAAUGCUGUGCUGACCUGAGCUGAGCUGAGCCGAGCCGAGCCGAGCUGAGCCGACCUGCUGGUUCUGUGCAGAAAAAGCCAA
rnacentral:lncRNA from 1 species